UAUUUGACAGUUUCUUUCUCAUCUGAAUAUUUAUUUUUGUAUACAUUAUUUCUCAAAUUUUUCAUAUGUCAUGUAAAUUUUCAAAAACAGUUUUCAUCGUUUAGCAAACUUGUGAACGUAGUAAAGAAGAAGAAGACUUCAAAUUUUUCAGAAAUGGAUAUCUUCGAUUUUGAUUUGUAUGAAUACCAUCAAAAACCUUUUGUGGAGUGUUCCCUACAACAAAUUAAGGCUAAAUUAAUAGAAGUAGCCGUUCCUUCGCAAUUUUCCGACCUAGUUGAUAUGUUUGGAUCCAGAAAAACAAACUAAGCGAUCAAGAGGCGGUGUAUCUGAAAGUUGCAGUAAUGUGAGCAGCAACAGUUUGAAGGAACCCCACACUAUCAACAGCAGGAACAAUCUAACUGGAAAAUCCGAUGACCUAAAAAUUUUGCUUUUUUCUUCUUGACGCCUGAAUAGUGGAUGGUGGAAAUUAGCAUUGAGAGAAUUAAUCACUGAGCUGCUUGAAUACUUCUGACACCGUCCUUACCUUUUCGAAUGAUGGAGAGCACAAACUCGGCCAGGUUAACAACUUUACCUUUGUUGCAGACCGAGAUAUGCCGUGAAUGAGGGCAAGAAAAAUUUUUUUUUUUGAUUAAAAACCUAUACCAAAUGCAUGUUGGAAUUGACAGAUUCAGCCCAGAACCUGCUCUUGAGAAGAUACGAAUGCUACAGAGUGGUAAUUUCCCGAAAAAACCCAGAACCUGCUAGUUUCCUACAAUCAACUACGAGGGUAUGAGCCUCUAUCAGAUUUCUCGAAAAAUGUCAAAAUCAGGAAUUGACUUAUCUGGGAGAAAAGCUGCUUGAUGCUACAGCCGAUUAGAAAUAUCCAUAAAAAGAAUAAGGUCUCAAAGGUGUCUAUCUUAAACAAUAGUCAUGUCAGUAACAGCCUGCUAGCGGGUAAAUUUUCGGGAUUUUUAUUCGAUUAAAAACUUCUUGAUGCGAUUGUUUUGAGACGCUCAUGUAUAAUUUUGUUGAAAAUAGAAAUUGCGGGAAAAUAAUUUUGAUCCUGUUAGAGUUUUCCCGCUGGAAGCUUGUUGAAAGUUUGCGCCGCUUUAUGAAUUGGAACGUGUCCAGUUUAUGUUCGAGAAGACACCGCUGGUGGGAAUCGUGUUGACUAUCAGAGCCGCGUAGAGACGAUGAUGGCGAAACGGGGUGUAUUUCGAACGAUUUGUAAGACAUGGCUAUUUCCAAGGAACUUCCAACAUCUAUCUAAGAUUUGGUUGGAAAAUCCAUGUUCUAAUGAAUCGUGGCAAAAUAUGCUGCCUUUACUCAGUAAGGUUAUUAAGUGCGUCAUAGUUAAAAGUGAUAUUUAUGUACAAAGUAAUGAUGCAAAAAACAAGA